rnacentral:rRNA from 1 species
AGCGAACGCUGGCGGCAGGCCUAACACAUGCAAGUCGAACGGACCUUUCGGGGUUAGUGGCGGACGGGUGAGUAACACGUGGGAACGUGCCUUUAGGUUCGGAAUAGCUCCUGGAAACGGGUGGUAAUGCCGAAUGCGCCCUUAGGGGGAAAGAUUUAUCGCCUUUAGAGCGGCCCGCGUCUGAUUAGCUAGUUGGUGAGGUAAUGGCUCACCAAGGCUACGAUCAGUAGCUGGUCUGAGAGGAUGACCAGCCACAUUGGGACUGAGACACGGCCCAAACUCCUACGGGAGGCAGCAGUGGGGAAUCUUGCGCAAUGGGCGAAAGCCUGACGCAGCCAUGCCGCGUGGAUGAUGAAGGUCUUAGGAUUGUAAAAUCCUUUCACCGGUGAAGAUAAUGACUGUAGCCGGAGAAGAAGCCCCGGCUAACUUCGUGCCAGCAGCCGCCGCCG